rnacentral:rRNA from 1 species
AUUGAACGCUGGCGGCAUGCCUUACACAUGCAAGUCGAACGAGUGGCGAACGGGUGAGUAACAUCUCGGAACGUACCGAGUAAUGGGGGAUAACUACUCGAAAGAUUAGCUAAUACCGCAUAUCAUUCGAGCGGCCCAUAUCUGAUUAGCUGGUUGGUGGGGUAACGGCGUACCAAGGCGACGAUCACUAGCGGGUCUGAGAGGAUGAACCGCCACACUGGGACUGAGACACGGCCCAGACUCCUACGUGAGGCAGCAGUGGGGAAUUUUGGACAAUGGGCGCAAGCCUGAUGCAGCCAUGCCGCGGGUCUGAAGAAGGCCUUCGGGUUGUAAAGGACUUUUGGCAGGGAUGCGGUACCCGCAGAAGAAGCACCGGCUAACUCCGUGCCAGCAGCCGCGGUAAUAC